GUAAAUUCAGUAAAGGUACAGUGAUGUUGCAACAGCUCUUCAUAAGCUGAUAGCAGGAGCUCUGGGAAUGCUAUCAGCUUAGGCAGCAGUUCCACUCAAAUAUUUUUUUCAAGAAAAGAAUUGCUGAGGAGUGCUGUGUUACAUAUGAUUUAAACCAAUGGUCAGCACUGCAUGCUGUCAUGAUAGGCCUGUAGGGCAGGAAACUAGGAUGAUUUAGAUGGUAAACAGGGCUCACCUCAAGUCUCAGGUGGUGGCAUCUCACCUAUCCACUGAAAAUGGAAGACGGAACGGCGUCUGGAUCUUUGUAAUUGAACGCAAUGACAGUGCAGCAGAGAAGCACUGGGUUUAUUUCCCAUGGCUUUGAAAUGCUG